rnacentral:rRNA from 1 species
CCUACGGGAGGCAGCAGUGGGGAAUAUUGGACAAUGGGGGGAACCCUGAUCCAGCCAUGCCGCGUGUGUGAAGAAGGCCCUCGGGUUGUAAAGCACUUUCAGUGAGGAAGAACGCCUGGUGGUUAAUACCCAUCAGGAAAGACAUCACUCACAGAAGAAGCACCGGCUAACUCCGUGCCAGCAGCCGCGGUAAUACGGAGGGUGCGAGCGUUAAUCGGAAUUACUGGGCGUAAAGCGCGCGUAGGUGGCUUGAUAAGCCGGUUGUGAAAGCCCCGGGCUCAACCUGGGAACGGCAUCCGGAACUGUCAAGCUAGAGUGCAGGAGAGGAAGGUAGAACUCCCGGUGUAGCGGUGAAAUGCGUAGAGAUCGGGAGGAAUACCAGUGGCGAAGGCGGCCUUCUGGACUGACACUGACACUGAGGUGCGAAAGCGUGGGUAGCAAACAGGAUUAGAUACCCUAGUAGUC